GUUUGUGGGACAAAUGGUUAUUUUGUGUUUGCGUUAAUUUGUAUUAUUAAUAUUGUUAUUUUUAUCAUUAUAAUUUUAUAAAUGAUUACUGGUCUGUGAAGUAUUUGUAAAACUGUUUAUUUCUCUCUCUUAGUAGAAAAAAAAGCUAUCAUGAAGCUUUUUGUCAUAAGCUUUACUGCAUUUCUCUGUUAUGGAUUGUGGCCCAAGAAAAAUUGAAAGACUUAAGACGGAUUGCUAAACAAAUCUCUGAGGAAGAUAAAGAUGGUUCUCAUCGCGUGAAGCGUGUAAUGCUUGCAGUCUCUGCGGCGGUUUCGAGUGGAAAAGUUGUCAGGGAGAUGGCUGGCAAAUUUUUCCAUCCGUAAGAUGUGCACAAUGUCCAUUGUACCCAAAACGGCUUUAAAUCCCCAUUAGUGAAGAAACCAACUUACUUUCAACAGAUUUACAGACAUUUACCGUGAGAACUUCAAAACAGAGACCAUGACUGGGAUCUGGAGAGAAAUGGAGUCAGAAUACCUUAAAGUACCUCUUCAUCAACAGUAAACCCAUGGGUUUCUUGAGUAACCUUUUAGCAGAAAUCUACUGGUGUUGAGAUCCGGGCUGGUGAAUGCACUUAAAAGUGAGGUGGUUAUUGCUUUGGAAGUUGGAAAAAUAGAUCUUAACCAACUUUAUGAGGAGUAAGAAUAUCACAUCAUGCUUUGCGUUGCAGAGUCUGGUGAAUGUAUUUUUAUGUCAUACUGUGACAUUUAAACGUCUUCUUCAUUGUACCAAUAAAGUUCAUUUGUAAACUAAUAUGGAUGUACUUUAAGGGUUUGAAUACAAUUGAAAAAUGUCAUCUACUCUUUGUAUCCUUUAAAGAGCGCAGAUGCUUAUGAAUCACGUUCGCGAGAAAGCUGCUAAUAUUUCAGCAUUGGAAAGGCAAAAAGAGAUGAAUGAUUUUCUUGCAUCACUAAGAACUGCAUCUGGACUGACAGUAUAUUAUUGGGAUCAACUUUUGAAAGUUUGUCCUUGCAUGAGAAACACUAUGACUCUAUUAAACGAUGGAGGGAGCUUACGAAGCUGAAAAACAAAUGAAACGUAUCACUAUCUUAUAGACUCUGAAGCAUGGGAGAGAAAUUUGAAGUAAGGCAGCAGAUAUUUAAAUUUCUGCAGUUAUAUUUGUUUUCUUAUUUCGAAAGCGAGUAUUAUAUAAGGCAGCCUACAUCGUGUGAAGACGUUGUCCAAUAUACCUGAUAACUGUAUUGAAUUUUUUUCUAGUUACAUUUACAAGACUUGAUAAAUUUUUUGAAGCCAUGGCCCUGAAAUACUAUACAGUGGGAAAUGAGGUUUAUGGUACUGACCGAUUCAAUCAAUCCAAUUGGUAAAUCUCAGUUGUGUUAUUUGUCAUGACACAUCUGAAAUCUCUACUUAAUAUUGACUAUUAUUAUAUACGCUAUACUAUAGUCAUAUUAUAUAAUGUUUGCAUUAUUGACAAUUUCUUGAAAAUGUUAUUACUUUGUAUAUUCAACAGGGCCAUUCGUAAUAUCGCUACUAUUUACGGUUUCUAUGUUUCUGAAAAACUGACUGAAAGUGGUUUUGGGAUUUCGGAGCUCAACAGUUUAUUUAACAGAGUAGAACUUGCAAUUCAACUUCUAGAACGAGAUCCGCUUCCCAGACGGCUGAUCACAUCCCCUACAUUUUUGCAGUAUAUUCUUGAUCUUUUUGUUAUAUUGACGAAAGAAAACGGAAAAGUUGAUGAAACGUUACUGCCUUUUAUGGUGAUCAGGACGGUGGUAUUAUUCUAUUGGGACUUAUAUAGAGAUGAAAUAUUGAAGCUCAAUUUAGACUCUGAAUUACAGCGAACGGAAAGGGAAUGGAACCAUGCGAGGACCAUCUUCAUCAAUGAGUUUAUAAAAAGUGGAGAAUUUACCAAAGAGGAACUUGAAGAAGCUCAAAUGAACUUUAUCAACGACACUCUUGGGACAAUAAAGAAAGUGAUGAAAUAUGGUGACAUGGCUGAAGGGUUCGAUGAAAGGAUUGAUUCGUCGAUUUUAGCCAUCAAAAAUGUGAGGAACUUUAUAAUGCUUCUUUUUCUCGAAACCUGGGACGAUUUGGUGCAGUAAUUGUUUCUUCUGACAGUACCAGCAUUAUAUUAACAGUACAGCAUUCAACAAACAUUUCAAAACAUGUUGUGUAGUGAGACCAUACAAUAAGCAACAUGUUGAUCAAUGCUUUGACAGAAGUUCUAAUAAAAGUGUUAAAGUCUACAAUUGUGAGAGUAUGAAAUAGUAUAGCAUCUUUUUAUAAACAGGAAUCCUGAUAUGUAACAAUGAUGUUGAAUCAUUUCGUUGAAUUCCUCAAUAAAAAGUUUUUAACACAAAGUA